AACGAGGAGAACAUUACGUCUACAAGACUCACAUCUCGUGUUCCACACUGAUGCUGAUAGAAAGUAGCCAAAGAUUCGCUGCGCUUCAGCGUGACGCAUUACAAGCACCCCAAGCAGCCGCACACGGUUCAGGCCAGAACGGUGGAAGAGAAGAAACUGUGGGCUCAUCACAUAAAGAGACUCAUUCUGGAGAACCAUCACGCUGUUAUCCCGCAGAAAGUACGUACAGUUACCGAUCCACAGAUGUCUGUCUGAAUCAGUGAUGCUGUAAUAAACGUGAGUCGGAGUUUAGACCAGGGAUUCCUAAAGG
rnacentral:lncRNA from 1 species